rnacentral:rRNA from 1 species
GAGACAGCAGUAGCCGCGGUAAUACAGAGGGUGCGAGCGUUAAUCGGAUUUACUGGGCGUAAAGCGUGCGUAGGCGGCUUCUUAAGUCGGAUGUGAAAUCCCUGAGCUUAACUUAGGAAUUGCAUUCGAUACUGGGAAGCUAGAGUAUGGGAGAGGAUGGUAGAAUUCCAGGUGUAGCGGUGAAAUGCGUAGAGAUCUGGAGGAAUACCGAUGGCGAAGGCAGCCAUCUGGCCUAAUACUGACGCUGAGGUACGAAAGCAUGGGGAGCAAACAGGAUUAGAUACCCGUGUAGUCCCUGUCUCUUAUAA